GCUCUCCUGGGUCCUGGGGCUGUUGUGCUGGGGAGGGGGGUGCCGGCUCUGCGUCCCGGGCUCCGGCCGCCUUGUCCGACACCCGCGAUUCGCCUCCUUUCUCCUGGUUCUCCUUUCCCCAACCCAUCCGACCCCUGGACUAAGCCUGGCGCCCCCAAAUCGGGAAUCCCCACAUUUGCUCGCCUUCCCCAGCGGUGUCCGCCCAGUGGCUUCCCAUCCCGCACCCACCCCUGCCCGGUCCCUUCUUUGCGUCCAAGGGUCCCAGUGACCUUGCACUUUUUGCUGAUUCUUACCCACCUCUAACGGGUUCUGACUCUAUAGAUUGCCCAUUAUGGCUUUCAAACUUUUUGACUCAACCUACACUUAGAAACAUGUUUUGUAUAUUCCCUGUGCUUGUAGAUAUAGAUUACUCAAGCACAAGUUUAAAGGGAGCCGCUUACCCCAGCUCACAUGACGCAGAUGUAUUCUAGCUCUAUUCUAAUUCAUUCCAUUCCGUUCCAUUCCAAAAGACUGUUGCUAACCCAUUGAUGAGGGAUCUAGUGGGUCUGACAGCUCGAAAGCCUACUUGUUUCUUGCUAUUUAUUUAUUUAUUUGGUACUAGGGAUUGAAUCCAGGGCUGCUUAACCACCUAACCACAUCCCCAGCCUUUAUCCCCUGUUUUGAAGCAGGGUCUCCCUAAGUUGCUUCGGGCCUUGCUAUAUUGCUGAGGCUGAUUUUGAACUUGCAAUACUCCUGCCUGAGCCUCCCAAGCCACUAGGAUUACAGGCAGGCCACCACCAUGCCCAGCUUGAAACCCUGCUUUAAACCCUCUACUUCUUGCAUUCAGAGGAUACUGAAUUUCCACAAUCAGCUAAUCAAGUAUAAACUUCAAUUCCAAAGAAAGGGAUAUUUUUACAAAUUUUUUACCAGGGCCAAUAUCAUUUCCAGUGCUUGAUUAAGACUCUAUGGUAUGAUACCAUCAGGUUUAUCUUAUUCUUUUCCCAAAAGCCAUAAGUGAGAUUUGUGGGAGGGAACAGUGUGUGAAAUAGGUGCUACAGUGAAACCUGUGUACUGCCAAGCUCAUGAUGAGCUAAGCCAUGAUUUUUACUGGGAGAUGCAUGACAUAAGUUAAGCUUUGGGAAGAAUAACCUGUCGGCCCUGGAGUGGCUGCAAGCUAAAGAAGAUGAACAUUGCCUGGGUUUAGUGUGGGCUGAAGAGGAGGCAGUAAGGAAGAAAAUUCUCAGGUGACAGGAGAGAAAAUGAAAUGGAAGAUGUGUGUGAUAACACAUCAGGCUAGGUAAAGGAGAUUCUGAUCUAGGGUGAUCAGGGAAUAUAUUACCCAAGAUUCUGAUCUAGGGUGAUCGGGAAUAAAUUAGUCAACUUUCUGUCAUUAUAACAAAAUGCCUGGGAUAAUUAUUAGGAGAAAAAGUUAAUUUUGGCUCACAUUUUUGUAGGCUCCAGGUCAAGAUCGGGAAGAUCCAUUGCUUUGGGGCUCUGGUAGGGGUGCUGGGUGGCAAUGGCAGGGAGAACAUGACAGAACAAAUUGUUCAACUCAAGUCCAGGAAGAAGAGUGAGAAGAAGGGUGGGGUCCCACUAUCUCUUUGAAAGGCACCCCCCAUCUCCUAAAGCUCCAACCACCUCCCAAUAGGGCUGCCCUGGGAAUAAGCCUUUUGUAGGUUUGUUUUGUUGUAUGUGGUACUGAGGGCUUCAUACAUUAGGCAAGUACCUUACCACUGAGCCCCAGCCCCAGGAGUAUGUCUUUACUCUUGGGCCCCUAGGUAAUAUUCAAGGUCCCAACUUUAGCAAGGGAUAUGGAGCUGACAUUAUUAGUUCAGUUUCCCUUCCUGUACUCUCUGCAUUUCUAAUUUGCUUUGGAUCAGUGACUCUUAGGCAUUUUUGCCCCCAGGGAGUAUUUGGCAAUGUUGGUUGUUACAACUUGUGGGGGAAUGAUAAUAGCAUCUAUCUGGCAGGUAGAGGCCAGGGGUCCUGCUUAACAUUCUAUAAUAAACAGGGCAGUUCUCCAUAACAAGCAAGUGUCUGGUUCAGAAGACCCCAUCAUGCUGGCGGCAGGAACCCUUAUUUUAGUAGCAGAUCUUAGUCUUUGGGGUCCACCACCUUCAGUAUCUCCCAGGAGUAAGUGCACCCAGAGUGUGUGCUAACCACAGAGGGCCCAUGCACUAGGCAGAGCACACCUCCAACCCUAAUGGCUCUUUGGUGGGAAAGCACAGUGAUCAUCCAGGUGAUGUUUUACCUGCAGGGCCUUUCCUCCUCCCUCUUCCACUGCCUAGGACCUACUGAGCCUAGACCAAGAAUUUCUUGUCCUUGAUGCUAUACUGUUUAUUGAAGAAUUUCACUUAGAGUAUUUCAUUUGCUGCUUUUCCUACUUCACAGGUGAAGUAGCCAGAGAAGCAGCCAGAGAAGUCAUGGGACUUGAGGUCUCCUCCCUCACAAGCUAGUGCCCCAGACCCAGGUGUAGGUGGAUAGUGAUGUAGUUUUCUCUCAUGAUUGAAAGUAACUGCUAUCAGCUUCCAGGAGAGGCUCCUGGCUUUCAGGAACUUAGCAGUUGGAGUUUGGACUCAGGGUAUCUGAGAGACACCUGAUUAUUCCUAAUAUUAUGUGGCUCUGGGGCCUACACUGAGCCCCUUGAGACCACCAGCAGGAGGGCAAUGUCAAAGAAGCAGUGUGAGUAUUGCACUUGAGUUGUUGCUCUAUACCCUCAAUUUUGGGGGAGGGGAGAGAGGAUAAGAGAGUGACAAACCAUAAACAUUGAGAUGCUUGAAUGUCCUAUUUCCAUCUGUCUGACCUGAAAAGUCUUUGUAGAAUGAAAAUUUAAUAUCACAAAGUAUAUACAUUAGGGCCAGGCACAGUGACACAUGCCUGUAAUCCCAGUGGCUUGGGAGGCUGAGGCAGGAGGAUUGCAAAUUCAAAGCUAGCCUUAGCAAUUCAGCAAGACCGUAU
rnacentral:lncRNA from 1 species